UGGGGAAUUUUGGACAAUGGGCGAAAGCCUGAUCCAGCAAUGCCGCGUGUGUGAAGAAGGCCUUCGGGUUGUAAACACUUUUGUCCGGAAAGAAAUCCUUGGCUCUAAUACAGUCGGGGGAUGACGGUACCGGAAGAAUAAGCACCGGCUAACUACGUGCCAGCAGCCGCGGUAAUACGUAGGGUGCAAGCGUUAAUCGGAAUUACUGGGCGUAAAGCGUGCGCAGGCGGUUUGCUAAGACCGAUGUGAAAUCCCCGGGCUCAACCUGGGAACUGCAUUGGUGACUGGCAGGCUAGAGUAUGGCAGAGGGGGGUAGAAUUCCACGUGUAGCAGUGAAAUGCGUAGAGAUGUGGAGGAAUACCGAUGGCGAAGGCAGCCCCCUGGGCCAAUACUGACGCUCAUGCACGAAAGCGUGGGGAGCAAACAGGAUUAGAUACCCUGGUAGUCCACGCCCUAAACGAUGUCAACUAGUUGUUGGGGAUUCAUUUCCUUAGUAACGUAGCUAACGCGUGAAGUUGACCGCCUGGGGAGUACGGUCGCAAGAUUAAAACUCAAAUGAAUUGACGGGGUCAUAGCUGUUUCC
rnacentral:rRNA from 1 species